AGGAAAUAGCUCAUUAUGGUGAAAUCUGGGAUUUCCCGAAAUCUGUCCCUGCUGAACACUUUUCAAAGAUCGCUUCGAAACUCUAUCAAAACGACGUCUAAUGGAAAAGUCGUAAACUACAAAGUUGUAGAGAAUUUCAAACCGAACAAUUUGGACAUCUUAUUCGUCCAGAACGGACAACGGAUGCAUCCGGCAGAGCAGAAUUACUGCGGAGGUUCGUGCAGUCUCGGAACUCCGAAAGUUGGUGACGUAUUUGACACAAACUCUUUCCAUACCUGGAUAUUUCGGCCCAGCCACGAGUUGUGAGGCUCAUGAAGGACAGAGGGGAGUCCUAGGAAGGUUCUAGAGGUGCCCAAGAGCCCUUGGAUCAAAGGGGCAUCCAUCCCAUGGCCUAGAUUGCAUCUCCAACACUAUAUAUUGAUGGAAAACCCAAUUUUUGGAGGCCCCCAAGCAUUGUCACGAAAAUCCUCCUCCUUGGCAGCAGCCAAGGAGGGAGAAACACUCAUCUACACCAGCACCAACUCAAGGAAGAAGAAGGCUAAGGGGCGGCGCUCCCCCAUGAUGCCGGUGGCGGGGAAGGAGUCCCCCGCGCCGCCGCCGGCGCCGCCCACGCCUCCGCCUCCCGGCGCUCCUCGCUGAGCCCUCCAACGUCUUCACCGCCAUCUCCAUCACCAACUCCUCAUUGUAUUCAGUGGUCCAUCCUCUCACAAACCUCUGUACCGCCCUAUGUAAACAUGGUGUUUGAUGCUAUAAGUUAUAAUCCUAUGAUCUAUGUCAUGUUGCCAUAGUUUAUUUGUUC